rnacentral:rRNA from 1 species
UACAGAGGGUGCGAGCGUUAAUCGGAAUUACUGGGCGUAAAGAGCGCGUAGGCGGUUAUUUAAGUUGGACGUGAAAUCCCUGAGCUUAACUUAGGAAUUGCGUCCAAAACUGGAUGACUAGAGUGGAGUAGAGGUGAGUGGAAUUUCCGGAGUAGCGGUGAAAUGCGUAGAUACCGGAAGGAGCACCAGUGGCGAAGGCGACUCACUGGACUCUAACUGACGCUGAGGUGCGAAAGCGUGGGGAGCAAACAGGAUUAGAAACCCUGGUAGU